UGUCCGAUGCCACGUCGAUGAUAGCUUCUGGGCUUUGAUCUUUGAUGCUACAUUGGACAUAAACAAAUGUUUGUGUUUCGCUUUCUGAUAGGAACCUGUGGAUCUUGAUCAUUCUACGAUCUACGGAGCCAUUUCGGCGAUUACAUUU
rfam:Eutrema salsugineum unplaced genomic scaffold scaffold_4, whole genome shotgun sequence.